rnacentral:rRNA from 1 species
CUACGGAGGGUGCAAGCGUUAAUCGGAAUUACUGGGCGUAAAGGGCGCGUAGGCGGUCUAUCAAGUCAGGUGUGAAAUCCCACGGCUCAACCGUGGAGGUGCAUCUGAAACUGAUAGACUUGAGUAUGGGAGAGGAAAGUGGAAUUCCCGGUGUAGAGGUGAAAUUCGUAGAUAUCGGAGGAACACCAGUGGCGAAGGCGACUUUCUGGACCAAUACUGACGCUGAGGCGCGAAAGCGUGGGGAGCAAACAGGAUUAGAUACCCUAGUAGUCC